GACGAACGCUGGCGGCGUGCUUAACACGUGCAAGUCGAACGAUGAAGAAGAGAAACGCGAACUUCGGUUCAAAUUUCACUUCGGAUUAGUGGCAGACGGGUGAGUAACGCGUGAGCAACCUACCUCUUACAAAGGGAUAGCCUCGGGAAACCGUGAUUAAUACCAUAUGACACAUUCAUAAGGCAUCUUAAGAAUGUUAAAGCUACGGCGGUAAGAGAUGGGCUCGCGUCCCAUUAGCUAGUUGGUGAGGUAACGGCCCACCAAGGCGACGAUGGGUAACCGGCCUGAGAGGGUGAACGGUCACAUUGGAACUGAGACACGGUCCAAACUCCUACGGGAGGCAGCAGUGGGGAAUAUUGCACAAUGGAGGGAACUCUGAUGCAGCGACGCCGCGUGAGCGAUGAAGGAAUUCGUUUCGUAAAGCUCUGUUCUAUGGGAAGAAAAGGACUGUACCAUAGGAGAAAGCCCCGGCUAAAUACGUG
rnacentral:rRNA from 1 species